AUUGAACGCUGGCGGCAGGCCUAACACAUGCAAGUCGAGCGGAUGACGGGAGCUUGCUCCUGGAUUCAGCGGCGGACGGGUGAGUAAUGCCUAGGAAUCUGCCUGGUAGUGGGGGACAACGUUUCGAAAGGAACGCUAAUACCGCAUACGGCCUACGGGAGAAAGCAGGGGACCUUCGGGCCUUGCGCUAUCAGAUGAGCCUAGGUCGGACUAGCUAGUUGGUGAGGUAAUGGCUCACCAAGGCGACGAUCCGUAACUGGUCUGAGAGGAUGAUCAGUCACACUGGAACUGAGACACGGUCCAGACUCCUACGGGAGGCAGCAGUGGGGAAUAUUGGACAAUGGGCGAAAGCCUGAUCCAGCCAUGCCGCGUGUGUGAAGAAGGUCUUCGGAUUGUAAAGCACUUUAAGUUGGGAGGAAGGGUUGUAGAUUAAUACUCUGCAAUUUUGACGUUACCGACAGAAUAAGCACCGGCUAACUCUGUGCCAGCCGCCGCAGUAAAAC
rnacentral:rRNA from 1 species